rnacentral:rRNA from 1 species
GUCCACGCCCUAAACGAUGUCUACUAGUUGUCGGGUCUUAAUUGACUUGGUAACGCAGCUAACGCGUGAAGUAGACCGCCUGGGGAGUACGGUCGCAAGAUUAAAACUCAAAGGAAUUGACGGGGACCCGCACAAGCGGUGGAUGAUGUGGAUUAAUUCGAUGCAACGCGAAAACCUUACCUACCCUUGACAUGUACGGAAGCCUCGAGAGAUUGAGGCGUGCUCGAAAGAGAGCCGUAACACAGGUGCUGCAUGGCUGUCGU